rnacentral:rRNA from 1 species
UACAGAGGGUGCGAGCGUUGUUCGGAAUUACUGGGCGUAAAGCGCGCGCAGGCGGCUUUUUAAGUCCGUUGGUGAAAUGCCGGGGCUCAACCCCGUGCCCGCCAGGGAUACUGGAGAGCUGGAGACGAGUAGAGGCAAGCGGAAUUCCGGGUGUAGCGGUGGGAUGCGUAGAGAUCCGGAAGAACACCGGAGGCGAAGGCGGCUUGCUGGGCUCGGUCUGACGCUGAGGCGCGAAAGCGUGGGGAGCGAACAGG